AUACGGAGGAUGCGAGCGUUAUCCGGAUUUAUUGGGUUUAAAGGGAGCGUAGGUGGGAUAUUAAGUCAGCUGUGAAAGUUUGGGGCUCAACCUUAAAAUUGCAGUUGAUACUGGUUUCCUUGAGUACGGUACAGGUGGGCGGAAUUCGUGGGGUAGCGGUGAAAUGCUUAGAUAUCACGAAGAACUCCGAUCGCGAAGGCAGCUCACCGGGCCGGAACUGACACUGAUGCUCGAAAGUGCGGGUAUCAAACAGGAUUAGAUACCCUGGUAGUCCGCACAGUAAACGAUGAAUACUCGCUGUUUGCGAUACACUGUAAGCGGCCAAGCGAAAGCGUUAAGUAUUCCACCUGGGGAGUACGCCGGCAACGGUGAAACUCAAAUGAAUUGACGGGG
rnacentral:rRNA from 1 species